rnacentral:rRNA from 1 species
ACAUGUGGCACCAACACUGCCCGUCCCAGGCCUGGCUAGUACUUGGAUGAGUGACUGCCUGGGAAUCCCAGAUGCCUUAGGUA